UACGAAGGGGGCUAGCGUUGCUCGGAAUGACUGGGCGUAAAGGGCGCGUAGGCGGUGUACACAGUCAGGCGUGAAAUUCCCGGGCUCAACCUGGGGGCUGCGCUUGAUACAUGUACGCUUGAGUUCGGAAGAGGGUCGUGGAAUUCCCAGUGUAGAGGUGAAAUUCGUAGAUAUUGGGAAGAACACCGGUGGCGAAGGCGGCGACCUGGUCCGAUACUGACGCU
rnacentral:rRNA from 1 species